UACGUAGGAGACGAGCGUUGUCCGGAGUUACUGGGCGUAAAGGGUGCGCAGGUGGCGGCGCGCGUGGGGGGGGUGAAAUCGCCCGGCUUAACUGGGCGGGGGCCUUCCAGACGGCGUGGCUUGAGCAGCGGAGGGGGGACGUGGAAUUCCGGGUGGAGCGGUGAAAAUGCGUAGAGAUCCGGAGGAACACCGACGGCGCAGGCAGCGUCCUGGCCGCUUCUGACACUGAGG
rnacentral:rRNA from 1 species